rfam:Heligmosomoides polygyrus genome assembly, scaffold: HPBE_scaffold0000051
GCGCCGGUGGUGUCAGGCGAACAUCGCUGCCCGGAAAGCAGAAGAUGCGGGUUCGAGUCCCGCCAAGCGCA